rnacentral:rRNA from 1 species
CUACGGGUCGCUCCAGUCGAGAAUAUUUGACAAUGGGCGGAAGCCUGAUCAAGCGACGCCGCGUGCAGGAAGACGCUUUUCGGAGUGUAAACUGCUUUUCAUGGGGAUGAAGAUCGCCUUUUGGUGGUUUGACAGUACCCAUGGAAUAAGGAACGGCUAACUUCGUGCCAGCAGCAGCGGUAAUACGAAGGUUCCGAGCGUUAUCCGGAUUUAUUGGGCGUAAAGGGUGUGUAGGGGGCUAUGUGCGUCUGUUGUUAAAACUCACUGCUCAACGGUGAGAUCGCGAUGGAUACGGCAUAGCUAGAGGAUGCGAGAGGCUUGCGGAACGCACGGUGUAGGGGUGAAAUCCGUUGAUAUCGUGCGGAACACCAAAGGCGAAGGCAGCAAGCUGGUGCAUUUCUGACCCUGAGACACGAAAGCGUGGGGAGCAAAAAGGAUUAGAUACCCCUGUAGUC